GCUGAGAAUAAUGCCAUAUCCAGAAUCAUCUUAAAAAAACUCCUUAAAGUUCAUUUUAUUGGUUUGUAUCGCAAUAAAAGCGACAAUCAGUUCUACACAGUUCAAAAUGGCUAGCCCAGUUUCACAUUAUGGUAUCCGGGAGAACCUAGUCACGAAAGAUUUGGCAUAGAGGACUGCGUUGUAAUUUAUGACAACUAUUAUAAAUCCAAGUGGAAUGACGUUGGAUGUUGGCGAGACUUUAACUUCAUCUGUCAACGUGAGAGACGUAAUUUAAACUAUAUCGGCGAAUGUCAGUCUUCUCCUUGUGGCAAAGAUCACUCAUGCAUAAAUAUCCCAGGCUCAUAUGAAUGCCUAUGCUCCAAUGGAUACAAACUUGACAAAUCCAAAAAGAAAUGUAUCGAUAUCGGCGAAUGUCAGUCUUCUCCUUGUGGCAAAGAUCACUCAUGCAUAAAUAUCCCAGGCUCCUACGAAUGCCUAU